rnacentral:rRNA from 1 species
UGUUUCCUGGGGAAGGCUCGUCCUCCCAGGGUUAGUCGGGACCUAAGCUGAGACCGAUAGGCGUAGGCGAUGGACAACAGGUUGAUAUUCCUGUACCAGUUGCUUUUGUUUGAGCGAUGGAGGGACGCAGGAGGCUAAGGAAUGCACACGAUCGGAAAUGUGUGUCCAAGCAGCAAGUCUGAGAACGAGUGAAAUACUUUUUCUCUCAAGGACAAGCUGUGAUGGGGAGCGAAAUUUAGUAGCGAAGUUCCUGAUGUCACACUGCCAAGAAAAGCUUCUAGUGAGAAAGUAACAGCCCGUACCGCAGACCGACACAGGUAGUUGAGGAGAGAAUCCUAAGGUGUGCGAGAGAACUCUCGUUAAGGAACUCGGCAAAAUGACCCCGUAACUUCGGGAGAAGGGGUGCUGACCGCAAGGUCAGCCGCAGUGAAUAGGCCCAAGCGACUGUUUAUCAAAAACACAGGUCUCUGCAAAAUCGAAAGAUGACGUAUAGGGGCUGACGCCUGCCCGGUGCUGGAAGGUUAAGAGGAGAGGUUAGCGCAAGCGAAGCUUUGAAUUGAAGCCCCAGUAAACGGCGGCCGUAACUAUAACGGUCCUAAGGUAGCGAAAUUCCUUGUCGGGUAAGUUCCGACCCGCACGAAAGGCGUAACGAUUUGGGCACUGUCUCAACGAGAGACUCGGUGAAAUUAUAGUACCAGUGAAGAUGCUGGUUACCCGCGACAGGACGGAAAGACCCCAUGGAGCUUUACUGCAGUUUGAUAUUGCGUGUUUGUAUCACAUGUACAGGAUAGGUAGGAGCCGAAGAUACCGGGACGCCAGUCUCGGAGGAGGCAACGGUGGGAUACUACCCUUGUGAUAUGACCACUCUAACCCGCUGCUCUUAGCGAGCAGGGAGACAGUGUCAGACGGGCAGUUUGACUGGGGCGGUCGCCUCCAAAAAUGUAACGGAGGCGCCCAAAGGUUCCCUCAGAAUGGUUGGAAAUCAUUCGUAGAGUGUAAAGGCAGAAGGGAGCUUGACUGCGAGACCUACAAGUCGAGCAGGGACGAAAGUCGGGCUUAGUGAUCCGGUGGUUCCGCAUGGAAGGGCCAUCGCUCAACGGAUAAAAGCUACCCUGGGGACAACAGGCUUAUCUCCCCCAAGAGUUCACAUCGACGGGGAGGUUUGGCACCUCGAUGUCGGCUCAUCGCAUCCUGGGGCUGUAGUCGGUCCCAAGGGUUGGGCUGUUCGCCCAUUAAAGCGGUACGCGAGCUGGGUUCAGAACGUCGUGAGACAGUUCGGUCCCUAUCCGUCGCGGGCGUUGGAAAUUUGAGAGGAGCUGUCCUUAGUACGAGAGGACCGGGAUGGACACACCGCUGGUGUACCAGUUGUUCUGCCAAGAGCAUCGCUGGGUAGCUAUGUGUGGACGGGAUAAACGCUGAAAGCAUCUAAGCGUGAAGCCCCCCUCAAGAUGAGAUUUCCCAUCACUUUAAGUGAGUAAGACCCCUGAGAGAUGAUCAGGUAGAUAGGUUGGGAGUGGAAGUACAGCGAUGUAUGGAGCGGACCAAUACUAAUCGGUCGAGGACUUAACC